rnacentral:tRNA from 1 species
AUUUAUAUAGCUUAAAAUAAAGAGCAUGAUAUUGAAGAUAUCAAGGUAAAAUUAAAUUUUUAUAAAUA